rnacentral:lncRNA from 1 species
GUCUAUGAAGAGUUGAAAGAGACUCUCCCGGAAUAACCUUGCAGUCCUUACACAAGCCCCUAUCGCUCCUUCGGAUGAGGAUGUAGUCAAUCUGAGUCCUCGCCGCGAACUCUUGAAGGUGACCAAAUGCUCCUCCCUCUUUCGGAAUGUCGAGUUCGCAAUCAGGAGCUCGGAAGCCCUGGCGAAAUCAAGCAGCGAAGUGCCUCCUCCGUUCCUGGNNN